AACUGAUACUACCUGCGGGAACCUGCGGAGGGAUCAUUAGUGAACGCCCUCACGGGCUUAUAACUAUUCCAAACCUCUGUGAACCGUGCCCUUCGGGGCUAUUUUACAAACAUGGUGUAAUGAACGUCAUAUAUCAUAACGAAACAAAACUUUUAACAAUGGAUCUCU
rnacentral:misc_RNA from 1 species